CUCCAUUAGACUUUUUGGGCCACUAGAUGCUGGUGGAAUCAGCAAUGGAGACACUAGCUUCUGACCAGCCUCUUCCAAGAAAUCUACAGACGCCUUACCACUAGGAAUCCUGUAGAAGUGCCCCCUAUUGAUACAACCCUAGAACUUUCCUGGAUACUCCAGAAGAGAACCCAAAAACAUCACCUGAAACAAGGCACAAACUCCAAACAGUAUUAUAGCCACAGCUGGAUCACCUGCCUCGCCCAAUGGAAGCAAUGAUACUACACAGCCACCAGCUCAGUCAGCUCCAGCCAGCUCAUAUGUUUUUACCCAGGUUCCAUUUUCCCAACCUCUUUUGAAGCUAAAACCAUCAACAAAAUUCUGGACAAGGUAUGUCACCAGAUACUUCUAAGGGAAGAAUUGGACUAGUGAAAAACAGUAUAAUCCACAGUGGGACUCAAGAAGGGAGGAACCAAGCAGCUAUGCAAGAUCCCAUCGGCUGACCAAUUGGUUCCGAUAUCCUGUGUCUCCACCCAGCUCUUUCUCCAGUUAGUCUUCCUGCUGACUCUACUGGUUAUAGUCCAAUCUCUGGUUCUCCAAGGCUCUCUGCUCAAAAAUACAGAUGACUUUCCAGAGCUACAGAACACUUUGAGAGGUGACCUGCCAUUCUCUAGGACCUGGCUGACUAGAAGCAGAGGGCAGAAUAUUGGCUAUGUUUGGUUGGUUAACACUCACAAAGUCAGUUAUAUCAGGAUGGCAUUAAAGCUUGAAUUUGUCUGUCAUUCUAUCAACUGAAGCAAGAUCAAGCCCUCAGAGGAAGAAGAAAAAUUCCCAGGGAGGGGCUUUGAGUGGGAGCAGCCGCCUUUUGACAAAAUCACCUGAGUUAGGUUAGCACUGAUGAAACAGGAGAUGGAACUACAUAUAGAGCAAGAACCAGUGACAUGAGGUUUAUAGUCCAGGAAAUAAGGAAAAUCCUGCAGCCAGACACAGAAGUGUGUGCAUAAGGGAAGCUGUAGAAAACAAGUAGAGACUUUUAUGAUCUCAAUUCAAGGGAGGGGAAUCCAUCCAUGUCCUCCC
rnacentral:lncRNA from 1 species